UUAGCUUGUUGGUGAGGUAACGGCUCACCAAGGCGACGAUCCCUAGCUGGUCUGAGAGGAUGACCAGCCACACUGGAACUGAGACACGGUCCAGACUCCUACGGGAGGCAGCAGUGGGGAAUAUUGCACAAUGGGCGCAAGCCUGAUGCAGCCAUGCCGCGUGUAUGAAGAAGGCCUUCGGGUUGUAAAGUACUUUCAGCGGGGAGGAAGGUGUUGUGGUUAAUAACCGCAGCAAUUGACGUUACCCGCAGAAGAAGCACCGGCUAACUCCGUGCCAGCAGCCGCGGUAAUACGGAGGGUGCAAGCGUUAAUCGGAAUUACUGGGCGUAAAGCGCACGCAGGCGGUCUGUCAAGUCGGAUGUGAAAUCCCCGGGCUCAACCUGGGAACUGCAUUCGAAACUGGCAGGC
rnacentral:rRNA from 1 species